AUUUAAAUAAUUUAAUAAAAAAUAUUGAUUUGUGGAGUCAAAAAUAUGAGAAAAUCAUUUUAAAUU
rnacentral:tRNA from 2 species